CUGACAGUUUGGCUUCCCUGUUCCAGGUGGCAAAGCCUGUGGGGUAUUCACCUACCUGCUGCAUGAAGGCAGCAUGGAGGGACUGUGGUGGAUUAUCUGCAAAGAUGGCCCAAAUUCUCUCAUCCCUGCAGGUACAUACAAGCCAGGUUUCCAGAAGUUCCCUAGUCAUUGGGCAUUUCUGAGACUCUUGAUGCAUAUGCCAAGUAGUUAUGGAGAAAGACAUAGCCGCUUACCUCUGCAGGCAUCAUUGUGUGAAAGGAAGACCGAGGCUGUCUCACCACCCUUGAAGAGAAGCCUUUUGCUAAGGAGUUUGCAGUUCACCCGCAAACCUCAGCGAUCCAAGCUCCCCUGGAUGACCAUCACUCACCUAGAAAAGAACAAUAACAGGACCUGUUUUGCUAAUCCAGGACUGUUCUCCAGCACUAACUCUAAAUAAUCCCUUCUGUUAGAGUCCACUUUCUGGAACCUGUUGCCUCCGUUUUCAACGUUUCCCAAACUUGGUCCGUUGUGUGAGUUGGCUGUUAAAAGUUCCAGGGAGAGGACAUCUUAUUCUUAUUGGAUCACGCACAGUGCCUGAAGCAUUCUGUUGCAUGUAGAAAUCAGUAAAUUGCAGAUGUAAGAUUCAAAACGAGACUUCACAUCUACCGACUUCAGUGAUCCUGAAAUUUGUCCACAGAGAGCAUUUAACAUAACUGUCUUCAUCAUCUCCUUCUCUAAUUAAAAACUAUGGAAAAGUUGCUAAAACCGCUGUGAGAUUCUGGCUAAGAAAAUUUCAUGAGAAGUUUUACAGAAAAAUGUGAACAGAAGAAAGAACUAGAUAUAAAUUUGAAUGGUAAUCUAAAUAAA
rnacentral:lncRNA from 1 species